GACGUAGGUGGCGAACGUUAUCCGGAAUUAUUGGGCGUAAAGGGUGCGUAGGUGGCUUGACAAGUUAUCAGUGGCAAAUCGAGGCUUAACCUCGCGGAAACUGGUAAUACUGUUUGGCUCGAGUGCAGGAGAGGUUAACGGAACUCUAUGUGGAGCGGUAAAAUGCACAGAUAUAUAGAAGAACACCAAUAACGGCGAAGGCAGUUAACUAUUCUGUUACUGACACUGAGGCACGAAAGCGUGGGGAGCAAAACGG
rnacentral:rRNA from 1 species